CGCAAAGCGUGCUACCAACGCGGACGCGAAACACGAGGUUCGGGCCCUUCGUGUGUUCAGAAGUCGAGUGAGGACAGUGCUGGCCUGAUCGUAACAAAGAGCGCAGCGCACACGUGCAAAACACGGACAAAUAUCUAGGGUAAAGGGUUUUAUUAGGUUGGUGGUCAGCGCAUACCCCACGCCCCUACCCCUCUGAUAAAGGAAAGGAUGAUAUGAUAAGUGUUACAAGACACCAUUCGAUAAUAAGUUAGGACAAAUCUGUCCGUGAACGCGAAUUCAGAAAGGAUUCCGAAAUCACACCGUUCCUACAAAGACUGACGGCCCAGAAUAUGUUAACGGCCCUUUCGUGUUUGGAUCUAAUGAAUCCUCUUUCAACCACCUAUAUUUGUUUAUUCCGUAUUAGGUACAGAACAAAGCAUUAUACAAAGUGCAGUACCAUACAGUCUCCUGUUCAGGUGUCGACCGGUGUCCUAGUGAAGGGUAGCGCGAUAGCAGACGAUUCCCACCGAACAGUCUGCGCCAAUACACACCUAUGAAGCUAAUUUUCGUCUGCGACUCAGCAACAAUCUUACCUGAUCGUUUCGUCCUGUGACAUUAAGUUCAAGUGGUCUUUGCCACUCUAUGCUGUCAUUUGUUUAACACUGACAAUUCGAAUAAUGAGAUUUCG